rnacentral:rRNA from 1 species
CAGUAGCCGCGGUAAUACGUAGGUGGCAAGCGUUGUCCGGAAUUAUUGGGCGUAAAGGGCUCGCAGGCGGUUUCUUAAGUCUGAUGUGAAAGUCCCCGGCUCAACCGGGGAGGGUCAUUGGAAACUGGGAAACUUGAGUGCAGAAGAGGAGAGUGGAAUUCCACGUGUAGCGGUGAAAUGCGUAGAGAUGUGGAGGAACACCAGUGGCGAAGGCGACUCUCUGGUCUGUAACUGACGCUGAGGAGCGAAAGCGUGGGGAGCGAACAGGAUUAGAUACCCGCGUAGUCCCUGUCUCUUAUAC